rnacentral:rRNA from 1 species
AGAAUUUGCCUGGCGGCCGUAGCGCGGUGGUCCCACCUGACCCCAUGCCGAACUCAGAAGUGAAACGCCGUAGCGCCGAUGGUAG